rnacentral:rRNA from 1 species
CCUACGGGAGGCAGCAGUGAGGAAUAUUGGUCAAUGGGCGGAAGCCUGAACCAGCCAAGUAGCGUGCAGGAUGACGGCCCUACGGGUUGUAAACUGCUUUUAUACGGGAAUAACGCGCCUUACGUGUAGGGCUUUGCAUGUACCGUAUGAAAAAGGACCGGCUAAUUCCGUGCCAGCAGCGGCGGUAAAACGGAAGGUCCGGGCGUUAUCCGGAUUUUUGGGGUUGAAAGGGGGCGUAGGCCGCAGGUCAAGCGUCCGGGGAAAUGUCCGGGCUCAACCCGGGACGUGCAGGGCGAACUGGCGUGCUUGAGUCCGCAGAAAGCAGGCGGAAUUCGUGGUGUAGCGGUGAAAUGCUUAGAUAUGACGAAGAACCCCGAUUGCGAAGGCAGCUUGCUGCAGCGGAACUGACGCUGAUGCUCGAAAGCGCGGGUAUCGAACAGGAUUAGAUACCCGAGUAGUC